rnacentral:lncRNA from 1 species
AUUCUGCCCCCUCCGAAUAAUUUCCAGGUACGACAAGGUAACUUGAUUGGUCUAUUCUUCCAGGAAGCAAUGACAAUCUAUUGUUCGGCAUUGACAUCAUUUGAAAAUUCUUUCAAAAGCUAUAUUCAUCAAAACAACCUAUUGUUCAAAAUGAACUUAAUAUUACUUUCAUACCUACACAAAUGCUCAAACUUUCACUAAAAUAACUAAUUAUUACUUAAAUCCAGCAAGUCAGUUUCAGAGUUAAAUACAGAAAAUUCCAAUCAAAAUAAUAUAACUACAGAUAUACAUACAAGAAACUUACCACCAAAGCAUUAAUAUAGCAAAUGAGUUUUCAAAGCAAUAAAGUGUUCACACUAGUAGGCAAGCAACCAAGCAAAAUCUGGGUAAAAACACUGCCCAUGAUAAUAUAUUGUUGAACUGCUCAUUUUAGGACAAAAUUAAACUUUACAACUAGUCAAUUGAAAUCGUUGUUCAUUUCACUAUUUCACUCCAAGGAAAGCCCUUUAUUCAGAUGAGAACCCAACACUUAAUAUUUACAGAGCUACAAGAUUCAACUCAAACAAUUAAAAAAAGAAGAUUUAAGUCACCAUUAACUGAUAAACCAGAUUGAAAGUGACUAAAUAUGCGUAAAAGCACGAAUUAGGAUAUAAGAGAGAAUUUGCCAGUGAGACAAUAGCAAUGGAAGUGAGGAAUACACCGAGUAUAGCAGAUAAAUCGCCAGGUUGAGGCUAAGGCUGAAGCCGAGGCUGUGCCUGUGUAGCCCUUGCUCUUUGUUGCUGUUGAUCCAUGCACUGUUGCCC